rnacentral:lncRNA from 1 species
AGGUGGGCAAGGACAAGAGAGAGCAGAUGCCAACAAGGCUUGGAAGCUGGGCCAAGGGAGGUUUACGCUGGCCAUUGGGAAGAACUUGUGCCCAGCGUGGGCCAUCAGAUACUGCAAUGGCCUGACAGGGGCUGCUGGAGUCAUCAUUGUGGCACGGGUGCAAGGCAAGCCAGGCCGCAGCGCUCGGGCCCCGCUCUGCUGGCCAUGCUUGCCGCCAUGGCUCCCAGCUUGGACUCAACAUUCUCUCAGGGCUCUCUGCAGCCAGGGCGUUCUGUGCUUCUGUGACAUCACAGCCUCUGGGGACGGCACGCUGGCUGGCAACUGUCCCCAGCUGUUGCUGCGCCCCAGUGCCCAGGCACAGCUGCUCGCAGAGAGACGCCCAGAGCCUCGGUGCUGCUGGCAGAGCACUAUGGCUGCUCACGGCUCCUCCACGCUGCUGCAGCUUUACGUGCUGCUGCUCUUGGCCCAUCCCCUCGACCUGGCUGCUCACGGCUCCUCCGCGCUGCUGCAGCUUUACGUGCUGCUGCUCUUGGCUCAUCCCCUCGACCCUGUGAGCAAACCUGAGCGCAGCACGGAUGCCUCUCCUCUGCUUCUGGAGGAUUGUCAUCUGGACGAGUCGGACCCUGAGCGCAUCCGGUGGGCGGCCAGGACAUUCCUGCUCAUCGACCUGCUCAUCAUAGGAAUGGCCAUGGGAUGGUCGCUCGGAAAAAGAAUUCAGAGACGCUGGCGAGAGCGGAAUCUCCAGAGCCCUUCGGGCCGUGCGGGGCCCCGCCGCCAUCGAAGACAGGGCUGUCCCACGGAGCUGAUGCAGCUGCUGAUGGACAACCGCGACCUGAUGCGGCUGCUCCUUCGCGACAGCCCUCAACCAACCACCAAGAUGGCGGCAAAAGAGGGCAGUGACAGGAGACUCCGCACCUCCCCACAGCUCUGACCUCCAGCGUCGCGCUCCAGCUACAGAACCUUACGGGGAACGGGUGACCAGUGCCCAGCCCAGGCACUGCGACGUUCCCCACCUUACAAGUUAGCCACACCCCUGUUGUUGUUCGAUUCCCCACCACGUUUCCCCCAAGAAGUUGACCUUUCCCUUAGUGUUCAGUUCUAAACAGUUGAAGCAUUGAAGUUUCUUAGCCUUAAGAUUCUUACCCCAUAGUCUUCUAGUAACGUUGGAUUGUAGAUUUUAGAAGUAGUCAAGUGAAUAAAGUUCACGUUUUCUACA